GAUGAGCGCUGGCGGCGUGCCUAAUACAUGCAAGUCGAGCGAACGGACGAGAAGCUUGCUUCUCUGAUGUUAGCGGCGGACGGGUGAGUAACACGUGGAUAACCUACCUAUAAGACUGGGAUAACUUCGGGAAACCGGAGCUAAUACCGGAUAAUAUUUUGAACCGCAUGGUUCAAAAGUGAAAGACGGUCUUGCUGUCACUUAUAGAUGGAUCCGCGCUGCAUUAGCUAGUUGGUAAGGUAACGGCUUACCAAGGCAACGAUGCAUAGCCGACCUGAGAGGGUGAUCGGCCACACUGGAACUGAGACACGGUCCAGACUCCUACGGGAGGCAGCAGUAGGGAAUCUUCCGCAAUGGGCGAAAGCCUGACGGAGCAACGCCGCGUGAGUGAUGAAGGUCCUCGGAUCGUAAAACUCUGUUAUUAGGGAAGAACAUAUGUGUAAGUAACUGUGCACAUCUUGACGGUACCUAAUCAGAAAGCCACGGCUAACUACGUG
rnacentral:rRNA from 1 species